UCAAUGCUGGAAACACCCCUGGUUACAAGCCUGUAUACAUUUCUGUGUGUGUGUGUGUGUGUGUGUGUGUGUGUGUGUGUGUGUGUGUGUGUGUGUGUGUGUGUGUGUGUGUGUGUGUGUGUGUGUGUGUGUGUGUGUGUGUGUGUGUUUUUCAAGAGUAACAAGUAGCUCGCUACUUGAGAAUUUUUUCAUUGCAUACUUUUUACUUUCACGCAAGUACAUUUUAAAAUCUUUUACUAGUAAUUAUUUAUUUAGUUACCUGUACUUUUACUAGUUUUUGAAUAAUCUUUCCACGUCUGUUAAAAUCUUCAUGAAUCCAGGCUGAGUUUGCCAUGUUUAUAAUAUUAAAUUCAUGAUUUACUCACCCCUAAGCCGUCCGAGAUGCAUAUGUCCAUCAUUUUUCAGAUGAACACAUUUUCAGUUAUUAAAUUUGGAGAAACCUAUCAGUGACUUGGAUUUUUUUUUUCUGGGGGGUGCCCUUUUUUAGGUCAGAGCAAUUGCCCCUCAAAAUUCCUGUGCACAUCCCUGAUGCUUAGCUACUUUUGAACGGGAACACGAUCGAUUGCAUUAUGCUGUCAAUCACUGAGUGAAAUAUUUUCUUUUAUCGUAAAUUUUAGAGAAACAGUUGUUACAAGUCUGUAUAAAUUUCUCUGUGUGUGUGUCUUAUGAAUGCUUUCACCUAUUGAAACCAAACUUUGUAUAUGAACUUGGGACUCCAAUGCGAGGAGGAUGCACAAGAUAAAAAAAACAUUCUAUAAUUUUACAUUUCACAAAUCACGUUAGUGACCGCACCAGAGCAAGCACACUUUUGCGGUUCCUCCGGUGCAUUUUCUAGUUAUUUUUGUAAAUAGACUACUGGUCAAAGGUUUAUGGUGAUUUACUCAUUCUUUAUUAAUAUUUUAUUCUACAUUUGAGAAUAAAAGGACACUGACUUUUUACAGGGUGUCAGGGACUUCAUCAAGUGGAAGGGUGUUUUACUUAUUUGGUAAUUAUUAGUAGGGGAGAGCAGAGGUGAAAGUACCAGAAAAACUUAAAUUUAAAACAUAAUGUUUUAGACCAAGAUAUAUUUUUGCCUUGGUCAGUAACUCACAAGUGUUGUCUAUCAAUACCAGGUGGAAUUGUAAACAAAUGUAAAACGGCAGUAUAAUUUCACUUUGAACAUAAGUAGCGCUUUGUUACUUUUGACCCCGUCAGCUGGGAUGAAACACACACAGGUGGGUCAAAAGGGAGGGGCAACCUUCCGAUCUCUAUGAUGAAGCCAAUAUUACUGAAGUGACUUAAACUGCAAUUCAUUGAUUGGCCACUAGAGGCUGGCUCCAAAAGGGAGUCAAUCCCCAUAGACCUCCCCAUGUAAAAAAUGCCCAACUUUACAGUAGAAAAUAAUGUUUACGUCCUGGUACAAAAAGUUAUUUGCAUUUUUAAGAUGAUGUACACUUUUUUGUCUUUAGAAAGAUCUUUUUUCAUACCCAACAGCAACAAAAGAAUUGACUGAAAAAGAUAAAGGCGCAGCCAUUGUCUUUCGAGGUAGAAGGGGCCUAUAACUACUACUGCUACAACUUCCUUAAUAAUUUGGAACAGCAUAUUUUGCAUAUUUUUCAAAGUAUUAAAGGUGCCCUUCCUCUGUCGUUUUUAUCGCUUUAUAUUGUUGUCUGAGGUCUACUCAUGACGUUUGCAUGCUUUUUACAUUAAAAAACAUCAAAAGCAAUAAGUAAUAGGCCAUUUUGUACCCUGAUUUUGAGGCUGGUUAGAGAAAUGAUAAUUUUUAAUGGGCGGGCUGCAUUGACGACUUGGAAGUAAACGCCCACUGCUAUGAUUGGAUAACAGUUUUUCGUUCAAACUAACUUUCAAUUUAAUCUCAUGUGUAAUCAGUUUAAUGUUAAGUGAGUGUCUUAAGACACAGUGUCUUUCUUACACACGCAUAUUUUAUCAUAAACCCUUUUGACACACACACAAGCGUCUUUUACAUAAACCCUUCGACGCGCGUGUAACGAACGCACAAACACACACAUGUGUCUUUUAUCACAUUGAUGCGUGUGCAUCAUGAAUUCGCGUGAAUCGCGUCCCUCUGAAGAGAAAUCCCGGCCGCAACUGAUAACACAUAGUACACUGAAAAAAAUGGACUUGGUGGGUCUUUGAAUUUAAAUAAAAUAAACAUGUAUAUGCAACACAAAAUAUUUAUAUUCCUUGUGUAAACAUAAUUUAAUUGAUAAGGAUGAAAAUGUUUUGUUUGAAUGUAAAAUGAACACAUUAUUCUCACAUUGAUUAAAAUUGAUUGAAUUGAAUAGUUAAAGCAAUAAAAUUGAGUUUGCACACAAAACGGCACCUCCUGAGCAGAAGGUGGCAGUAACGCUCAAUGAAAAGGACGUCAAUCGCCAUAAAAGAAGAAUAAAGAUCGUUUGUUUUGGGCGCCAAAAUGAAGACUCAGCAGCAGUCAGUCAGAAGAACUCUCUCAGACGGACACCACGUUAUUAAAGUCCAUCAUCCUUGCAUGCGCUACACACUCAAAAGCAUUGAUAAAUGCUGAAUUUAAAAGAAUCACUACUGUCUAAUGUUCCUGCGUGUCACCUGGACCUCCAAUCCAAAAACCUGACGAAACUCUUCUAUCAGAAAGGAGGACAGCUAGCAAAAAGACUUGGAACAAUCAAUGAUCAAAUGACAGAAGGCAUGGAUGAAGUCAGCAUCAGUGUGGUCAUUUGAAGACACCACUGUUGGGAUUUGUGCUCUCAAACAACAUGCUUCUUGUGAUGAAGAAGAGGAUCUUUGUAUAGUCCUGGAAGGCACGAAGGUGUUGCAACACCGUGCCAUGUUGUUUGAGCUGAUGUAUGCCUUAAACCUGACCUAUCCUGAUCUCCGCUUUAUUUUUGAGGAAAUCCAAAAGAUUUUAAUGGAACUGCAUUGAGCGUAACUUUAACGAACAGUUUCUUUCAGUGAAAGGAUCAGAAAGACUGUGCUGCUCAUUUAUGUUCUUUUUAUUUAUCUGUUUUAAGUGUUUUCUCUUAUUAAAACAUUAACAGUUUGCUGCUCAGAGUCGAUUUUGGAAAUGGUUGUUGUAUUUUGUUUUUGUUGAAUCUUUGAUUAUCAGUUUAUACAAAUGCUGUAGCUCUGACUUUCUGAAGGAUUGAUAUUUUCCAGUUUGUAAAUCCAUUUAAAAAAUAAUAGUACUUAUUGUUUUGCAUGUCUCUUUGGAAUGCAGUGUUUGUGUUUUAGCACUUCUAAAUCUACUGUGAUAGUAACUAUUUUAAACAUUUGGGUCAGUUUCACAGAUGGGGCUUUUCCUAGUCCCAGACUUUUGCAAUGCCUUAAUUUGAAAACAUAUUGCACUGACAUAUCGUGACAUAUAUGAGUGCCAUUGUUUUGUCUCAAGAUGUACUCCAGUGUUGUUUUUGUAAGGUAGGUUUGUUUGUAAACUUUUUUUGUAAAAAAUAUUCUAAUAUAACUAGAGCCUAGUCAUGGCUUAAUCUACAACCUGUCUGGGAAAUUGCCCCUUUGUAUGUACUGCAUGUGCUGAUUGUUGUAAUAGUUAUUGACUGUUAAUGAAUUAAUGUGUAAUGAUUUAAAUGAAUUGAUGAUCUGAAAGCAGUGGUUUGCCUCAAUAUCACUAAACAUUUGUUCAAAACUCUUUGCUUUUUAUGCCAAUGCAAAUGUAUUUUGUAUUUAAAAAAGAAAUAAAUAACAUUUGGAUAAUUAUGGGUGAUUAUUCUGGUGCCAGAGACAUAAUGAAAUUGCUUUAGAGUUACAUAAUCCCAUAAUAUAAGCAUUAAAAAAGCAUGUUGGAAUUACAGAUGAAAAUCUAG